rnacentral:hammerhead_ribozyme from 1 species
GUACUGAUGAAGAGUCUCAAACUAGAACGAAACGGCUGUCCAGUAC